rnacentral:rRNA from 1 species
AUUGAACGCUGGCGGCAGGCCUAACACAUGCAAGUCGAACGAGUGGCGGACGGGUGAGUAAUGUCUGGGAAACUGCCCGAUGGAGGGGGAUAACUACGGAAAACGGUAGCUAAUACCGCAUACCAUCGGAUGUGCCCAGAUGGGAUUAGCUAUUAGGUGGGGUAAUGGCUCACCUAGGCGACGAUCCCUAGCUGGUCUGAGAGGAUGACCAGCCACACUGGAACUGAGACACGGUCCAGACUCCUACGGGAGGAAGCGUGGGGGAAUAUUGCACAAUGGGCGCAAGCCUGAUGCAGCCAUGCCGCGUGUGUGAAGAAGGCCUUCGGGUUGUAAAGUACUUUCAGCGAGGAGGCGUUACUCGCAGAAGAAGCACCGGCUAACUCCGUGCCAGCAGCCGCGGUAAUUC